rnacentral:rRNA from 1 species
GUUGUAUGGCCCUUUAUGUCGGGAUAAGAUCAGCUGAGCUAAUACCCGGGUUGGGGAUGACGGUACCCAAUGAAUAAGCACCGGCUAACUUACGUGGCCAGCAGCCGCGGUAAACGAAGUGGUGCAUGCGUUACUCGGAAUAACUGGGCGUAAUGCGGGCGUAGGUGGUUAUUAAGUCCGUUGUGAAAGCCCUGGGCUCAACCUGGGAACUGCAGUGGAUACUGGAUGACUAGAAGGUGGUAGAGGGUAGCGGAAUUCCUGGUGUAGCAGUGAAAUGCGUAGAGAUCAGGAGGAACAUCCAUGGCGAGGCAGCUACCUGGACCAACAUUGACACUGAGGCACGAAAGCGUGGGGAGCAAACAGGAUUAGAUACCCUGGUAGUCCACGCCCUAAACGAUGCGAACUGGAUGUUGGGUGCAAUUUGGCACGCAGUAUCGAAGCUAACGCGUUAAGUUCGCCGCCUGGGGAGUACGGUCGCAAGACUGAAACUCAAAGGAAUUGACGGGGGCCCGCACAAGCGGUGGAGUAUGUGGUUUAAAUUCGAUGCAACGCGAAGAACCUUACCUGGCCUUGACAUGUCGAGAACUUUCCAGAGAUGGAUCGGUGCCUUCGGGAACUCGAACACAGGUGU